CGCCCCAUUGAAAGUUCAACAACAAGUUCACCCCUGCUUCGACGAGUGGUCCUCGUCAAAUAUUAUAUAGAUUUAUAUAGCCAACCCUAAAAGCGGAGUUCCAGUCAGUUUAUUGUCCAGCCCUUCAACUUCUAAAAAUUCCUAUGCACUGGCUCUCGAAGAGUUAACGAGAUGUGGAACGGAAGGAAGAUGUUCUCAAAACUUGCAAAGUGAUCAACAUAUCAAUAUGCGUGAAACAAUGUGCCAGGAUCGUACUUAGCAUCUCUUAUACCUUCUACGCUAGCCUCUAUGAAAUUCUAUCCUGGAAACUGGAGUUGCGGCAACAUCACGCCAAGUUGAGCAUACUACUCAAAUUACUUUGGAUACAUUGUGCGUGGUUAAAGAUGGCGGACAAAGGGGAAUGAAAUUUACCUGACAUAAUGAGCUUAAAGGGAAAAGAUUACUGAAGAAUCUCAGGUUUGGCGAAGCCUCUUGCUGACUGCAAAAUAGAGGCCCUUCUUUAUGCAUGCUGUGUAUCCCAGAAAGACAACAUUACCAAACAUACCUGUGAGACAAGCAGCAAAGAAAAUUUAAUUGUAGAAACUUGAAAAGAGACAACUACACCUGUUGCAGCAAAGUUCAGAGACAAAAAAUGCUACAGGAGACCCACUCACUUUUUGUCUGGGAUGAAAAAUGUAGUGAGGAGACUUAUGAGCUUGUGGAAACUUAAAAGAUUACUACUAAUACAAAAUAUAUGAUACUUACAUGGCAUACUGAGUAUGUUGUGUCCUGUGUACAUUUCAUUUAAAUAAUGAGAUUGUAUUUGAAAACUGAAAUAGAAGCUAAAAUGCUGGGCAGUUGAACCCAUGAAGCACAGAAAGAUCAGUCAUUAAAAAGAGUACUGGGCAUAUGAUCAUAAAAAAGUCAAGUUUUAUCUUAGUUUGAUGGCUUGUUAUUGAACCUGUGCAUUCUAAUUAUGUCACUUGCUAACUGUAAUCUGAAAUCCACAAGUUGUAAUAUUUCUGCCUCAGUGUCCCCAUCUUCUGUCCCUGAGAUGUCAAAAUGGCAGUUGCACUGUGUGAUGCUGAUAAGGAUUUGUUAUAUCCUAUUGUGGCUCCCUUUUCUAAGCUUUUGGAAAGAUUAUCUAAUAAACU